CAUAUUUUUCCAAUAUUGUUAGUUGCAGUGGAAAUGAAUGUAAUGUAGUGAAAUAACAGAAUGUAGAACUGAACUAUUUACAGCUACUAUUUACUAGACAAUGGGGAAUUUUAAGAAUCUGCACGCACACGCCCGCACACACACACGCACACACACACACACACGCAGUAUGCGAAAUCACAGGAUGGCCCAGUUCCUCCCUGAGAACUUUUAGCCCACCAGGUUGUGAGAGGUGCAGCACCACAGCCAGGAGGACUUUGAACUUUAAAUGUUUCCACCUCCGGAGAGUCCCCACGGCUGUCUGGGAGAGAAGAGACGUUCUGCCGGUAAGUACAAAGAUGGCCCGUUCCGUUCUUCUUCCUUUGCCAUUCAGGAGCGUGGUUUCCCUCUGAGGCAGGCAAGAGUAUAAAUGUCUCUCUGGGCUGGUCAAAACUGGUGUUCGAUCAGACGGUCGUCCCAGCAGUGAGGCAUCCCAGUUGCACCAUGAGCUCCGCGACCAUCUUGUCUGCUCUCCUCCUGGCUGUAGCAAUUGUCAGUGCGACUGAAGCAAAAAAUGGUGGGGGCUGUUGUGUAACCUAUAGCAGAGGGUCCCAGGUACGGAAGCUCCCUCUGAAUUUGAUUAAGGAAUACAGGAUGCAGGAAGUGACUGGGACCUGCCACAUACAAGCUGUUGUGUUAAUCACACAACGGAAUCGGAGGAUCUGUGCCAACCCAGAAGCAAAGAGUGUGAAACAAAUCCUUAAACAGCUGAGAGGGAAGAAAAAGAAGACACAAAGCGCAAGGCGGAGAAAAGAGAAACAGUGACCUCUGUCACACGAAUGUGUUAUUAGACUAAAACCCACCUGACCACAUUCAUUAAACUGAACUAGUGUUACAACAUGUAAUUUCAUUGUGUCAAAAUGUAAACAUGUCAAAUGUAAAACAAAAAAUACUGUGUUAACCUACAUGAAACAUAUGAAAUCCCUCAACCGCAAUGAUGUAAUAACUUUUUAAUCCCCCCUUGAACAUAUUUUGUUUUAUCGAGACAAUGCUUGUGAUGUCAUUUUUUUUAAAACAUUUUUUAAAUGUUUAAAAAAUGUUUUUUAAACAUUUUAAUUAAAUAUCAUUUAAGCUGUUAAGAAAAAAAUGCCUGCAUAUUUGCUUAGGAAUGAUUAUAACGUAUAACAUUACUAUGUUACCCUGUAGUAAUGAAGGUGUUAAAUGCUUUAUGAAAGCUUUAGAAUGGUUUUAGCAUCACUAACUCAGUACCGGCACCUCCUAUACGCAGACUAUGAACAUUGCAUAGGGCCACACACACACACACACACACACACACAUACACACACACACGCAUGCACACACACACACGCACACACACGUGGACGUUUACAAAAGAAAUUCCCUUUAUCUAUCAGAUUUUGUAUUGCCGCAAAGGCUAAAUGACAGGCAAUGCCGAUAUGACACCUAAAUGGGCAUAUGCCACCAGUGUGGAGUAACUGAAAAAAAGAAGGCUCGAGAAGAAAGUGGAGCUUGUGAUAAUAGUAAGCAAUAAAAUAAAUGUGUUCUGUUAGUUAUAUUCUUACACCGUGUAUGUUCUUACAUUACAAAAAUGACUUACAGCGACUUAUUUCACUGUUGUCAAGGCACUACAUUCAUCUCUUCUCCCGAGUUGAGUCUGGUAUUCUGAUAUCUGGUCCAUAUGUGAAUUGAGUUCUUUAAAAAAUAUUCUAUAGCAUCAGUGCCACCUUCGUACGCUGUGUUACACAUGCAAAAUCCCUUUGUCAUCCGUCAGCAUGGGAAAAGCCAAAGAACUGUCAAUUGAGAGGAGACUGUCACAAGUCUGGUAAAGGGCGCAAAAAAAGACACAAAGGGUUAAACAUACCACUGUAAGGGAAAUAGUUAGAAAAGCGAAAGAAAGUGAAACAUAUGGAACUUUAAUUUUGCUUUUAUUAAUGGCAUUUGGCAGACGCUCUUAUCCAGAGCGACUACAGUUCAUUAGACUAAGCAGGAGCAAUGCAGGGUUAAGGGCCUUGCUCAAGUGCCCAACGGCUGUGCAUGUUAUUGUGGCUACACCAGGGAUCGAACCGCGGACCUUGCGGGUCCCAGUCAUGUACCUUAACCACUACGCUACAGGCCGCCCCAUGAUCUGGCAUGCAAGAAUGUUAUUUCCCCCGUGAAAAGCAAGAGAAGACAUAAUCAUCCCCAAUCCACAAUCUUGAACAAAAGAUUGUGGAAUGGUUGCAGACUUGCCAGGAAGAGGACACAAGUGUAGGUUCUCCCCAAGGACGAUGAGUCAUAUGGCGAGAGAGGGCAUAAAAAACCCAGGUAUCACAGUUUAAGAGAUCUUUUCACCCUAAUAAGCCUAAAAUAUAAGUAUAAGUGCUCACUGAGUGUAUAUAUCACAUCUAUUUUUUCUA